rnacentral:rRNA from 1 species
GAUCUGGCUCAGGAUAAACGCUGGCGGCGCACAUAAGACAUGCAAGUCGAACGAACUUAACCAUUAGUUUACUAUUGGAGCGGUUAGUGGCGGACUGGUGAGUAACACGUAAGCAACCUGCCUAUCAGAGGGGAACAACAGUUAGAAAUGACUGCUAAUACCGCAUAUGCCUUAGAAUCACAUGGUUCAAAAGGGAAAGGAGCAAUCCGCUGAUAGAUGGGCUUGCGU